UAGGGAGGGAAGGGGUGACUAGUUACAGAGUGAGGAAGGGGGUGACUAGUGACAGAGGGAGGGGUGACUAGGGACAGAGUGAGGAAGGUGGUGACUAGUGACUAGUGACAGUCACCACCUCCCUCACUCUGUCACUAGUCACCCCCUCCCUCACUCUGUCACUGUGUCACCCCCUCCCUCUGUCACUGGUCACCCACUCCCUCCCUCACUCUGUCACCAGUCAUCCCCUCACUCUGUCACUAGUAACCCCUUCCUUCCC